rnacentral:rRNA from 1 species
GAUGAACGCUGGCGGCGUGCCUAAUACAUGCAAGUCGAGCGAAGCGGGGACGGGUGAGUAACACGUGGGUAACCUCCUAUAAGACUGGGAUACCUCUGGGAAACCGGAGCUAAACCGGAAACUUCUCGAUGGAUCCUCGCUGCAUUAGCUAGUUGGUAGGGAAACGGCUUACCAAGGCAACGAUGCAUAGCCGACCUGAGAGGGAGAUCAGCCACACUGGAACUGAGACACGGUCCAGACUCCUACGGGAGGCAGCAGUAGGGAAUCUUCCGCAAUGGGCGAAAGCCUGACGGAGCAACGCCGCGUGAGUGAUGAAGGUCUUCGGAUCGUAAAACUCUUUUAUUAGGGAAGCGGUACCUAAUCAAAAAGCCACGGCUAACUACGUGCCAGCAGCCGCGGUAAUAC